rnacentral:rRNA from 1 species
GUUAGGAAUAUUGGACAAUGGGCGCAAGCCUGAUCCAGCCAUGCCGCGUGUGUGAUGAAGGCCCUAGGGUUGUAAAGCACUUUCGUUGGGGAUGAUAAUGACCGUACCCAAAGAAGAAGCCACGGCUAAAUUCGUGCCAGCAGCCGCGGUAAUACGAAUGUGGCAAGCGUUGUUCGGAAUCACUGGGCGUAAAGAAUGCGUAGGCGGCUUGACAAGUCAGGAGUGAAAUCCCCAGGCUCAACCUGGGAACUGCUUUUGAAACUGUCUUGCUAGAGUCCCGGAGGGGUUGGCGGAAUUCCGAGUGUAGAGGUGGAAUUCGCAGAUAUUCGGAGGAACACCAGUGGCGUAGGCGGCCAACUGGACGGGAACUGACGCUGAGGCAUGAAAGUGUGGGGAGCAAACAGGAUUAGAAACCCGAGUAGUCC